rnacentral:rRNA from 1 species
GCGGCGUGCCUAACACAUGCAAGUCGAACGGAGCUGUUUUGGACGGAGACUUCGGUCAAAGACCAUGACAGCUUAGUGGCGGACGGGUGAGUAACGCGUGAGUAACCUGCCGUUCAGAGGGGGACAACAGUUGGAAACGACUGCUAAUACCGCAUAAUGUAUAUAGGAGGCAUCUUCUGUAUACCAAAGGAGCAAUCCGCUGAAUGAUGGACUCGCGUCCGAUUAGAUAGUUGGUGGGGUAACGGCCUACCAAGUCGACGAUCGGUAGCCGGACUGAGAGGUUGAUCGGCCACAUUGGGACUGAGACACGGCCCAGACUCCUACGGGAGGCAGCAGUGGGGGAUAUUGCACAAUGGAGGAAACUCUGAUGCAGCAACGCCGCGUGAGGGAAGAAGGUCUUCGGAUUGUAAACCUUUGUUUUUGGUGACGAACAAAUGACGGUAGCCAAAGAGGAAGCCACGGCUAACUACGUGCCAGCAGCCGCGGUAAUACGUAGGUGGCAAGCGUUGUCCGGAUUUACUGGGUGUAAAGGGAGCGCAGGCGGGACAGCAAGUUGGAUGUGAAAUACCGGAGCUUAACUCCGGAGCUGCAUCCAAAACUGUUGUUCUUGAGUGAAGUAGAGGUUGGCGGAAUUCCGAGUGUAGCGGUGAAAUGCGUAGAUAUUCGGAGGAACACCAGUGGCGAAGGCGGCCAACUGGGCUUUAACUGACGCUGAGGCUCGAAAGCAUGGGGAGCAAACAGGAUUAGAUACCCUGGUAGUCCAUGCUGUAAACGAUGAAUACUAGGUGUGGGGGGACUGACCCCUUCCGUGCCGGAGUAAACACAAUAAGUAUUCCACCUGGGGAGUACGACCGCAAGGUUGAAACUCAAAGGAAUUGACGGGGGCCCGCACAAGCAGUGGAGUAUGUGGUUUAAUUCGAAGCAACGCGAAGAACCUUACCAGGUCUUGACAUCCGACUAACGAAGCAGAGAUGCAUCAGGUGCCCUUCGGGGAAAGUCGAGACAGGUGGUGCAUGGUUGUCGUCAGCUCGUGUCGUGAGAUGUUGGGUUAAGUCCCGCAACGAGCGCAACCCUUACUGUCAGUUACUACGCAAGAGGACUCUGGCAGGACUGCCGUUGACAAAACGGAGGAAGGUGGGGAUGACGUCAAAUCAUCAUGCCCUUUAUGACUUGGGCUACACACGUACUACAAUGGCGUUAAACAAAGAGAAGCAAGACCGCGAGGUGGAGCAAAACUCAGAAACAACGUCCCAGUUCGGACUGCAGGCUGCAACUCGCCUGCACGAAGUCGGAAUUGCUAGUAAUCGUGGAUCAGCAUGCCACGGUGAAUACGUUCCCGGGCCUUGUACACACCGCCCGUCACACCAUGAGAGCCGGGGGGACCCGAAGUCGGUAGUCUAACCGCAAGGAGGACGCCGCCGAAGGUAAAACUGGUGAUUGGGGUG